UUUCAAAUAUUUAUACAAUAAACUAUAUCAAAGAAAAAAAUGUGUCUCGUUUAAUUCAAAAUAUAAUUCAUACGAAAUGGGCGUAUUGUAAUAUAUUAUACAUGAGAGCAUUUAUUGUGAAAACUCCUAAAAAAAAUCAAAAAAAUUACCUUUUUAAAGUACCACCACAGUCAGAUUUUGUUUUAGAAUAUGUGCUAAUAUAAUAAUUUGGGGAAAAUUGCUAGUAGAAAAGUUGUCCACAGAAAAGAAAGAUCUGAUACUGGGGAUGGAAGCGGCCACAGUUUUCGGUGAGUAUUUGGG